GAUGAACGCUGGCGGCGUGCCUAAUACAUGCAAGUCGAGCGAACAGAUGAGGAGCUUGCUCCUCUGACGUUAGCGGCGGACGGGUGAGUAACACGUGGAUAACCUACCUAUAAGACUGGGAUAACUUCGGGAAACCGGAGCUAAUACCGGAUAAUAUAUUGAACCGCAUGGUUCAAUAGUGAAAGACGGUUUUGCUGUCACUUAUAGAUGGAUCCGCGCCGCAUUAGCUAGUUGGUAAGGUAACGGCUUACCAAGGCAACGAUGCGUAGCCGACCUGAGAGGGUGAUCGGCCACACGGGAACUGAGCCACGGUCCAGACUCCUACGGGAGGCAGCAGUAGGGAAUCUUCCGCAAUGGGCGAAAGCCUGACGGAGCAACGCCGCGUGAGUGAUGAAGGUCUUCGGAUCGUAAAACUCUGUUAUUAGGGAAGAACAAAUGUGUAAGUAACUAUGCACGUCUUGACGGUACCUAAUCAGAAAGCCACGGCUAACUACGUG
rnacentral:rRNA from 1 species